rnacentral:tRNA from 1 species
GGAGAGGUGGUAGAGUGGUCGAUUACGUUGGUCUUGAAAACCAAUGAACAGCAAUGUUCCCAGGGUUCGAAUCCCUGUCUCUCCGCCA